CAGAUAGUUGGACGAGGCAUCUACAUUCUAGCACAUCUUCUUAAUCACUAAACAAGUGAAAAACAGCUUACUUAUAUAUAAAAAGGCAAUGGGAAAAGGUCAUGAUUGUCUAAUAGGGAACUGGAAUCCCCCAAUAAAUUAUCUUACAAAAAUAUCAAACUUGCUUUUCCACUUUUCUACUCUUAAAAAUGGAUGAACUGGAUUGCAACUCAGACCCCAUCAAGAGCGACAUGCGAGUCACUAGGCUGGAUACGCACCGGUGCCUAUUUCAAACGUGGGACAUAGCUAUUAAUAACACUGCUGUGCAUACUACUUCCGUAAGUAGUUUUACCCUGUAAAACCCCUCAAACCUAACUGGGAAUGGAGCUGCAAGGAA
rnacentral:lncRNA from 1 species